ensembl:ncRNA ZC123.7 ncRNA
GGACCUCGGGCCUGCUACUAUCUAUGACACUAUGAAAUAAUGAAAUGCAAGGAUUAUAUUUGAUGGCUGUUGCUACUGCUGGUGGUAGUGGCGGUGGUGGACGGCUGGUUGUGUGUGUCGCACUUUUCCACAUACAUACACACCUACC